GAUGAACGCUGGCGGCGUGCCUAAUACAUGCAAGUCGAGCGAACGGACGAGAAGCUUGCUUCUCUGAUGUUAGCGGCGGACGGGUGAGUAACACGUGGAUAACCUACCUAUAAGACUGGGAUAACUUCGGGAAACCGGAGCUAAUACCGGCUAAUCUUUUGAACCGCAUGGUUCAAAAGUGACAGACGGUCUUGCUGUCACUUAUAGAUGGAUCCGCGCUGCAUUAGCUAGUUGGUAAGGUAACGGCUUACCAAGGCAACGAUGCAUAGCCGACCUGAGAGGGUGAUCGGCCACACUGGAACUGAGACACGGUCCAGACUCCUACGGGAGGCAGCAGUAGGGAAUCUUCCGCAAUGGGCGAAAGCCUGACGGAGCAACGCCGCGUGAGUGAUGAAGGUCUUCGGAUCGUAAAACUCUGUUAUUAGGGAAGAACAUAUUUGUAAGUAACUGUGCACACCUUGACGUUACCUAAUCAGAAAGCCACGGCUAACUACGUG
rnacentral:rRNA from 1 species